GUCAGGGUGUGGCUGAGCCCUGGGGUACCAGGCCCUUUGCGGUGGAAGCGGCGACCGGGGCCCCUCUGUAAGCAGGGGUGUGGACCCUUUGGCCGCCACGUUGUGUGCCCAGCCCCAUUUGCCCAGGCUGCCCGACUCUGCGGCCCGUUGCAGCAGCGUCUGGAAGUCCGCGGCGCAUGGAAGUGGAGCUCCCGCAGAAGACGGCGGAAGAAGCCACGUGUGGAACCGGGCGGCAGGAGGAUGCAAGCAGAGGGAGCAAGAAGAGGAAGCAGAAGACUGCGGCUGGGCUAAGGGAGAGGCGGCCUGGGCAAAAGCAUCUCCCUGUCACCAGGGGCAUAGUCAUGUCGCAGUAGAGCGUUGCCGGCACUUUAGGUGACCAGGCCGGCUUUGUGCUGGGCGACCUCCCUGUAAGCAGGGCUCGGGUCUUUGCUGUAGUUGGCCUUUUGCCUUGUUGCUCCUUUGGCUGCCUGGGGAAGGUGGGCCCCUGUAAGGAGGGCGAGAGCCGCUUUCUCCGCACCCGAGUGGGAAAUGGAGCUCGCUGGACCCCACGGGCACCCUGUAAGCAGGGUAGCGCCCUUCCCCUGCCACUGUUCCUCUGGCCGCUCAGCGCUGAUGCCUGCUGGUGGCCUGCCCGUGUGUUGGCCCUGUACUCGGGGCGUGUGUCACGCCACUUGGCCUUAAGUCACCUGGGAAUCCCCUUGGCGCGUUGAGGUCUGAGGCCUCCGUGCAGCCCCUUUUGUCUUGCCCCUUUUUUCCUAGGGCAGAACAGAGCUGUGUGGUAGUUGCGUGGCCAUGGCCGCCCUGUAUCCAGGGUUUGGGUCUGUGCCUGUGUGGCCCCCUGUCCUGCUGGCGACACGCCAGCGUGACAGCCCCGUACUCGGGGCGUGUGUCACAAACUGUGGAGCCCUCUGUCCCCGGAGCGGCCCGCCCCCCCUGUAAUCAGGUCUGGGGAGGCUGCGUUGGUGCAGCCGGCUGCUUUAGCCAGCUGGUGGGAGUGACCCCUCCCUGGCCCGUUAGAGGGUGCAGGUUGAGGUGCUACUUGUGGCUGGGGCGACUUCCCCGC
ensembl:lncRNA